AUUGAACGCUGGCGGCAGGCCUAACACAUGCAGGUCGAGCGGAUGACGGGAGCUUGCUCCUUGAUUCAGCGGCGGACGGGUGAGUAAUGCCUAGGAAUCUGCCUGGUAGUGGGGGACAACGUUUCGAAAGGAACGCUAAUACCGCAUACGUCCUACGGGAGAAAGCAGGGGACCUUCGGGCCUUGCGCCAUCAGAUGAGCCUAGGUCGGAUUAGCUAGUUGGUGGGGUAAUGGCUCACCAAGGCGACGAUCCGUAACUGGUCUGAGAGGAUGAUCAGUCACACUGGAACUGAGACACGGUCCAGACUCCUACGGGAGGCAGCAGUGGGGAAUAUUGGACAAUGGGCGAAAGCCUGAUCCAGCCAUGCCGCGUGUGUGAAGAAGGUCUUCGGAUUGUAAAGCACUUUAAGUUGGGAGGAAGGGCAGUAAGUUAAUACCUUGCUGUUUUGACGUUACCGACAGAAUAAGCACCGGCUAACUCUGUGCCAGCCGCCGCCGUAACAC
rnacentral:rRNA from 1 species